GACGAACGCUGGCGGCGUGCUUAACACAUGCAAGUCGAACGGAAAGGCCCUGCUUGCAGGGUACUCGAGUGGCGAACGGGUGAGUAACACGUGGGUGAUCUGCCCUGCACUUCGGGAUAAGCCUGGGAAACUGGGUCUAAUACCGGAUAGGAGCCAUUUUUAGUGUGAUGGUUGGAAAGUUUUUUCGGUGUAGGAUGAGCUCGCGGCCUAUCAGCUUGUUGGUGGGGUAAUGGCCUACCAAGGCGGCGACGGGUAGCCGGCCUGAGAGGGGGGACGGCCACAUUGGGACUGAGAUACGGCCCAGACUCCUACGGGAGGCAGCAGUGGGGAAUAUUGCACAAUGGGCGCAAGCCUGAUGCAGCGACGCCGCGUGGGGGAUGACGGCCUUCGGGUUGUAAACUCCUUUCGCUAGGGACGAAGCUUUGUGUGACGGUACCUAGAUAAGAAGCACCGGCUAACUACGUG
rnacentral:rRNA from 1 species